rnacentral:rRNA from 1 species
UCUUAUGAGCCAUUCUUCUCCAAAAUGGGAAUAAUAAUAAUAAUAAGCAGGAUCAGGCCUGGUUAGUACUUGGAUGGGAGACCACCUAGGAAGACCAGGUGCUAUAGGCA